rnacentral:rRNA from 1 species
CAUGUGUAAGUUUAAAGACCAAGUAGGAUGAAACUGCGGACGGCUCAUUAUAACAGUAAUAGUUUCUUUGGUUAGUAUGUACAAGGAUAACUUUGUGAAUGAUAAAGCUAAUACUUGAGACGAUCCGGGGAGUAUUUAUACUUUUCGGCCCUUGGUCGCAAGGCUGGCGAGAAACGACAUUCUCUUGUGAAAAAGGAUGCCGCGACAAUUGAGGAAAGCGACGCUUUUAACAAGUAACCAAUGGGAAUUUCUGAUCUAUCAAUUUGUUGGUAGUAUCGAGGACUACCAAGAUUAUAACGGAUAACGAGGAAUUGGGGUUCGACAUCGGAGAGGGAGCUUUACAGAUGGCUACCACUUCUAAGGAAGGCAGCAGGCGCGUAAAUUACCCACUUUCGACACGAAGAGGUAGUGACGACAAAUAACUCUUG